GUUGAGCCCACUUUGAACAGACUCCACCAUGUGCUUCGGGGUGCUCUGCCCUGUGGUCCUCUGUCUCCUGGGAGCAGUCUCUGUGGACACUGGAGUUACUCAAACACCCAGAUACCUGGUCCUGGGAACGAGAGAUAAGAGAUCUUUGAAUUGUGAACAAGAUAUGGGACACAGUUUUAUGUAUUGGUAUAAACAGAGUGCUCAGAAGCCAAUAGAGCUCAUGUUCACCUGUAACUACAAUGACCCCACUGGAAAUGAGACUGUUCCGAGUCGCUUCAGGCCUGAUUGCCCAGCGAGCUCCCCCCUUUACCUGCACGUGGACGCCCUGAAACCAGAAGACUCUGCUGUGUAUCUCUGCGCCAGCAGUAGAGACACAGCCCUGCAGAGCCAGCCGCUUCCUCUGCACAAACCUCGAGCACCCAGCCAGGAGGCUGUGGGGCCAACCAAGGCCACAUGGAACCUGGAGUCAGACAAAGCCCUCGCCACCACAUCACAGAGCCGGGACAGAACGUGACUUUGAGGUGUGACCCCAUUCCCGGUCAUUUGUACUUCUGCUGGUACCGACAGACCCUGAGGAAAGGGGUGGAGUUUCUGAUGUCCAUCUAUAACAAAGAGCCUUCAGAGAAGGCCGACUUUUUAAAGGAUCGGAUCUCAGCUGGGAUGUCUGAUGGCACGUACCUGACUCUGAAGAUCCAGCCUGCACAGCGGGGAGACUCGGCCCUGUUCCUCUGUGCCAGCAGCUCAGCCACAGCCAUGCACAGACACCUCCUGCCCUUCCACAAACUCUAGAGCUCCUCUGCUCUCCCCAGGCUCUCAGCAGCGCCUGCCCCGCCCAAGGAGGCUGGCGGAUGUGUGGUGGGUCUGCAGCUGCUUCUCAGGAGCAGAGGCCAGAAUUAACGGUAGUUUGUAGGAGAGGAAAUGGAGCACAGGUUCUCUGGGUGUGUGGAAAUUGGGAAGGUUCUCAGCCCCAUGGAAUGUGGCCGUGGACCCCAGCAACGGGAGAGAUGUGGCCAGUGGAUGACCUGGGGAGCCUCCAGGGAAACCUCUGUACUCCCUUGGCCUCUGCCUGUGUUAUUCUCUAUUGAGCAAAGCAUGCAUCUGCCUUGCAGUGGAGACGGGCCUCCUGGGAGCGGAGAGGGCCCUGCUGCCCUCACAGGACAAUCCAAUCCUCUUAGAGGGCCGAAUCAGUGCCUGGUCACGGAUGGGCACAGCUGACAUCAAUUCCCCCUGUGACUGGGAGCCUCCUCCUCCUCUGAGUAGCCAAGACUGCUGCCCCGUCCUGCCUGCACCCUUUGUGUAUGACCCCCUCUCCAAUAAAGCACGGAUGUCUUUGUUGCUGUCUUGGGGCUCAUUCUUUGUUCUUGAACCCCGGCAAUGAUCAGGCUUGCAGACCUGCGAGGUACCCUCCAACAACAACAGGAAAACCAGAAAGAACGGGUGCGGCAGAAGCCCCCAUCAAGGGAGGCUUGUGCACAGCAGCCUUCCCCCAAGAGCAGGACCAGUGCCAUGCUCCCCAAAACUGAUUGUCCUCUUGGAAUCAUCCUCGGGAGCUGGCAUCAGCCAGGUGAUGGAAGGUGUUAGGAGGCCUGAAGAGGAGGUUGGCCACAAAUCUCUAGGCAGUAGCUCGCCCGUGGUCCUCCCUUCAGUGAGAUGACAUGAUUCCACUGGGGUUGUCUGACACUCUCCUUCUUUACCCCAGUAGAAUUCCGGGGGUGAACAUGUCAAAGCUUUGUGCCUGCUCCUAGCUAUGGUUCCAGGAGUAUUCCUUGAACAAAUCAAGAUGCUAAUAUCUGCAGGGCUGUUGCUUAGUUUAUGCCUAAAAACCCAGGCAUAGCCAAUCUCUAUUGAGUAAAAACUGAAUCGUCUUAGUAAAUAGCUGAAUAUGUUGGCAACUGU